AGGUUACAUCAAGGUGUUAUUUGAACUACUGAUGUCAAUCAUCUUGAUCCAGUGUGUCCAUUUUCCUCUGAACUCUGACAUCGUCAAAGCUUUUUUUAUCCACACAACUAAUGCUCACAAGUUUGCAGGAAUAAUGACCAAUCAGAGGAGAUGAUUAAAGUGGAGAACACUACAACAGUACUUCAACCUACUGAACCUCACCUCCUGAUCUGAUGUCAGUUUUGCUGACAGGCAUCUGCUGUACACCACCGGGGUCAGCAUCUCUGAGAGGGGAUCAGUGCCAAACAGGGAUCAGCUGUCUGCCACUGGCCAGUUUUCAGCUGGAUUUUACCAUCUCCUUCCCUCCAGGACUCCUAUUAGUGUCAAGAAGGCAGCCUAUGUCCAGGUGUGAAGAUGCCUUGCCAGGUGCAAGAUGUGAUAGUAAUUUGUUGUGCCCAUAAUGUCAGUCGGUCUGAUCUUCUGGGAGCACAGCAUCUGACUCUUUGCCUCUGCGGUGUAAACUAAUUAAGUGUUAAAUUUGGUUUCAUACAUCCGUCAUCUAUGUAAACAAUUAACUGCAAUUAGAAGACAAAGUAUGGGAUGAAAGUACGAUUUAUGAGGAUUAUAUCAAGAAUAAUUACUAGUGAUGUAAACACAUACACGUGUCCGUAUUUUACUUUUAAAAAAAAUAAAAG